rnacentral:rRNA from 1 species
UACAGAGGUCCCAAGCGUUGUUCGGAUUCACUGGGCGUAAAGGGUGCGUAGGUGGUUGGGUAAGUCUGAUGUGAAAUCUCCGAGCUUAACUCGGAAACUGCAUUGGAAACUACUUGACUAGAGGGUUGGAGGGGGGACUGGAAUACUUGGUGUAGCAGUGAAAUGCGUAGAUAUCAAGUGGAACACCAGUGGCGAAGGCGAGUCCCUGGACAACUCCUGACACUGAGGCACGAAAGCUAGGGGAGCAAACAGG